rnacentral:tRNA from 1 species
GGCCUGGUAACUCAAUGCAUAGAGUGACUCCGUCCUAAGGAGUAAGUUGCGGGUUGGAGUCCCGCCCGGGCCA